UUAAGCUCUUCUGUAGAAGGCGUGAAGGGACACUGAAGUUAAAACGGAGUUCUCUUCCCAUUUCUGGCUGCUUUCAUCUGCCUGGACAUGCUGUGUGUGUGAAGUCUAGUAACAAGUAGGACGCCCAGUAGUGCUACUUCCCAGGCAGUACCAUCAUCAAAGAUGAUUUGAGAAGCACUGAUGGAGAAGUCGAGUUCCUUAUUCAGAUAUUAAGCCAAUCUUACUCUUUCCAAUGUCAUCUUGGUGACCCAAUUGUGACAAGAAUGUCCAGAUACAGUUUGGUGUUGUGAACUGGUUGGCUUCCCCGUUUUGCAGAUAGAACUACAAAAAUAGAAUACACACUCAAUGGGCUGACCAACUGAUUCAUAACAUCUUUAUUGGAGAAUGAACUUUCUUUUUCUCUCCAGGCCCCCUGUAACCCCUGUCUGGUAUUUUCUACAUGACUGAUUCCUCUCUAGAGCCAGAACUAUGGAAUCUUAAGAGAAUCUGUAUUUCUUUAAAAAGAAUAAAUAUCUUAUGACACUCUUUAUUUUUGUUUGCCUUUCCUCUCUUGUAUCCAGCCUGAAGGGAGAAAUUAGAAGAAACAAAUUUAUUCAAAGUAGGAAGCUAUAGGGUUUUGUUUGUUUCAUUCUGUUUUUCAUUUUUACCUCCACUCCUGUUGACUUGGGAAGGGCAAUUGGAGGAGAUUAUUUUCCAGAGUGAUUUGGGCAGCAGAGAUACAGGGGCCUGAGAAUAGGAGGCAUGGCAUUGCGAACACAGAGAACAGCUAGGAGAAGAUGGGAGAGGAUAGGAGAAUAAAUGGUAAGGUGGGUGUUGAAACAGUUCAACUCAGAAGUGGCAGUCACAGAGACAUUUAAAUUUACAUUUUACCAAGUACCUUCUUACUCAGAACCCUAUAAUAAUCCCUGCAAACGUUGUAAAAUUCCAAUUUUCUUAGAAAGAAAGAAAGAAAGAAGAAAGAGAGGAAGAAAGGGAGAAAUGAAGAAAGAGAAGAAAAGAAAAAAGAAAGAAAAGAAAAAGAAAGAAAGAAAGAGAGAGGGGGAGGGAGGGAGAGGGAGGGAGGGAAGGAAGGAAGCAGAGAGGGAAAGAGGGAAGGAGGGAGGAAGGAAGCAGAGAGGGAAAGAGGGAAGGAGGGAGGGAGGAAGCAGAGAGGGAAAGAGGGAAGGAGGGAGGAAGGAAGCAGAGAGGGAAAGAGGGAAGGAGGGAGGAAGGAAGGAAGGAAGGAUAAAGAAAGGGAGGGAAAGGGAAGGAAAGAAAGGGAAGAAAAAAGGAAGGAAAGACAAGGAAAAAGGCUGUUAGAUCUCUCACAACACUGCAAACAUUUAUUCCAGUUCCCAGAUUUUAUCCCAAUGUUUUAAUCUUAUGGAACUUCUUAGUUCACUGAACAUGCAAAGAGCCAUGUCUUAUAACAACAAUGCCUUUUCCUGUGUUAGGGCAGAUCCUCUAAUCUUUCAAAUCACUUCCCUGUAAGUCAGGUUUCCAAGCACUAUUUCAAUUUAAAAACUAUUUAUUGUAUACAUUACUAAAUCUGAGACACAUUAUUUGGUGUUUGAGAUACAACAGUGAACAAACCAAAGAUCUUUACCCUUGUGAAACACUCAUUCUUGGACUUCUUACAUUUUAGAUCAUUCUAUACAAUGAUCAUUCUUACCUGGUACAAUUUAAGCUCUUAGAAUCAAAGACUAUGUUGUUCAUUUGACAAAAGUUUCCGUAUCAUGCACCAAACAUUUAUAUACAUCUCUCUAACCACAUCAGCAUCAGAGUUUCUAGCAAGAACAAAUAUUCAAAAUCUGACAAAAUUAUAAUUAAGCAAAUUAAUACCUAAAUAAAUCAUUGCAACUAAUUUGUAGGUAUUUUUCAUGUAGUUGGUAAAGAUACUUCCAGCAAGCGAUCAAGGAAGCUAGAUAAAAAUUUAUGUUAUGAAGAAAGCACUCAAGAUGGAAUUCACAUUCUUAUUUCAGCAUUUUCUUUGAGCAAAUAAAUUAAUCCUCCUGAAUCUUAGUUUUCUCUUCUGUAAUAUGGGAUGUUAUAAAGAUGAAUGGACAACAUAAGUAAAAAAUGUAGCCCAGAAUUAUAAGAAGCCCUAAUUAAAUAUUUCUUUCCUUUCUUCCUUCAUUCCUUCUUAAGACUGGUGCCAGGGAUAGCCUUUUUGACCAUUCUGCAAUAUCUCUAAUGUUCUUUUUUCUUGACCUUAAGAUCUCAACUUGAGCAUUAUUUUAUCUGCCCAUCCAGCUACUUUUCCUAUUACCACCUUCCAAUCCUUUGCUGUCACGUAUUUGUAGACUGCAAUUUGAAGAAAAUCUCAACAAUUUCUGAAUUAAACAUAAGAUAAAAGGCAUAACUAGCUAACAUCUUUAAAAUGACAUAAAUAUGUCCUAAGAUUUUAGAUAAUUUAAUUUCUGCAAGCCAUCUAUGGAAUAAAGACCAAAUCUCCAAUAUGAAAGAGUUUCACUUUCUUUAAAACACGAAUCCUGGGGUACAGAGGAAUGCAGUUGCCGUAUAUCUUAAUCAUGGCCCAGGCCCUUUAAGGAAAAAUCUAAGUAAUUCCCCAAAACUAGCAUAUUCCCAAUAUAUUACACAUCUUCCUGCUAGUCUCUUAAAAUUUUUCAAGACAGCAACAAAUGACUUACUACUUCGCUCCCCAGAACAGUGGUCAUUGUGCCUCUUCUGUAUGGGCUGGAUCAGCUACAGGCCUAAUGAGUAUAAUUAAGGAGCUUUUUUUCUGGUUCACAUUAGCAUCAAUGCCUGCUUGGUAAUUUUACUAUCUAGCACCCUAGAGAGCCAUGACCACAUUGCUUCUGACACAUUCUGCCCUCCCUCAAUUAGCAACUAUGAUCCAAAGGGAAAAUGCUCCUCAAGGCUUUUUUUUCCAAAUAGAUAAAGGAAUAGACUCAGGAAAUUAGUUGGUUUCCUAUUUUAGAUCCUUUGGUGAAGUGACUCAUUACAAAUCUAGAAGCUACUAGAAAUACAAUCAGCAGAAAAACCUCCCAUGGGCUUCCUCCUAUAGUUUCUGAUUUUUGCCCUUUUGCUGGAGACAAGAAUAUUCACUCCUUAACUCAAGCCUCUAUUUCAAGGGAAGGAAUAUAUUUUGAGAAAUGGCAGAGCAAUGGACUGACAGGUGCUUGUAGAUCCAGCAGUGACAGCAGCAAGGAGCAAAUAUGGGAAAUGAGGCAGAAUGUGGGAGAACUCAGUUAUAGUGCCCAGAGAGAGCAUUCAUGUAUUUAUCUAUUACAAAGUUUAGUUUCAGUCAUGAACUGUGUUGUGUUUAGGUGAUCUGAGUUCAAAUAAUUGGUAGUUUUUACCUUAAGAAAUUAACCCUCCGGCCAGGUGCAGUAGCUCACGCCUCUAAUCCCAGCACUUUGAGAGGCCAAGGCGGGCGGAUCACCUGAGGUCAGGAGUUCGAGACCAGCCAGGCCAACAUGGUGAAACCCCGUCUCUACUAAAAAUACAAAAAUUAGCCGGGCAUGGUGUCAGCCACCUGUAAUCCCAGCUACCCGGGAGGCUGAGGUGGGAGAAUCGCUUGAACCUGGGAGGCGGAGGUUGCAGUGAGCAGAGAUUGCACCAUUGCACUCCAGCCUGGGUGACAGAGUGAGAGUCCAUCUCAAAAGAAAAAAAAAAAAAGGAAAAAGAAAAAUAUUAACCCCCAGAGAAGGAAACAUAGAAAGCAGCGACUGCUGCACAUUUUGAUGGGGGAUUAUGAGAGAUAUGCAUAUGUCACUAUAAAGAAAUACAGAAAAUAAAUAUGAAUUGGAUUAUGGAGGUCAAUAACUACUUAGAGGUGGUUAUGCUUGAGUGAAGUUUUGAAAUCUGAGUAGUGGGUAGACAAAUAAUAAGAAAUCAUAAAUUUUCAGGAAAUACAUGUAAAAGCAAAGGGCAUGAAACAAUGUAUUUUAUUGGAACAACAAGUACUUUGGUAGAAUUUUUAACAGAGUUAAAAUGUACCUUCAAAUCUGUUAGAAACUAUUGAAAGUUUUAUAACCUGGGAUAUUAUUUAAUUAGAUUUUUAUUUUAGAAAGAUGAUGAUGACCAUGAUAAUAAAAAUCAACAUUAAAAUAGUGCUCAGUAUAUGCCAGACAACUGUUGUAAGUGUUUAACACAUAUUUUCUAAUUAACCAUCACAACAACCCUAAGACUUCCCUGGCAGCAGUGUGAAGAAUGGAUUGGGGACCAAGGGACUUGAAGUUUUUGCAGUAAUCCAGAAAAGACAGGAUGAUCCUGUA
rnacentral:lncRNA from 1 species